rnacentral:rRNA from 1 species
AGUGAACGCUGGCGGUAGGCCUAACACAUGCAAGUCGAACGGCAGCACAGUAGGAGCUUGCUCUUACGGGUGGCGAGUGGCGGACGGGUGAGGAAUACAUCGGAAUCUACUUUUUCGUGGGGGAUAACGUAGGGAAACUUACGCUAAUACCGCAUACGACCUACGGGUGAAAGCAGGGGAUCUUCGGACCUUGCGCGAUUGAAUGAGCCGAUGUCGGAUUAGCUAGUUGGCGGGGUAAAGGCCCACCAAGGCGACGAUCCGUAGCUGGUCUGAGAGGAUGAUCAGCCACACUGGAACUGAGACACGGUCCAGACUCCUACGGGAGGCAGCAGUGGGGAAUAUUGGACAAUGGGCGCAAGCCUGAUCCAGCCAUACCGCGUGGGUGAAGAAGGCCUUCGGGUUGUAAAGCCCUUUUGUUGGGAAAGAAAAGCAGCAGGUUAAGACCCCGCUGUUCUGACGGUACCCAAAGAAUAAGCACCGGCGAACUUCGU